rnacentral:rRNA from 1 species
GACGAACGCUGGCGGCGUGCUUAACACAUGCAAGUCGUACGGUAAGGCCCUUUCGGGGGUACACGAGUGGCGAACGGGUGAGUAACACGUGAGUAACCUUCCCACAACUUUGGGAUAACGCUAGGAAACUGGUGCUAAUACUGGAUAUGUGCUCCUGCUGCAUGGUGGGGGUUGGAAAGCUCCGGCGGUUGUGGAUGGACUCGCGGCCUAUCAGCUUGUUGGUGGGGUAGUGGCCUACCAAGGCGGCGACGGGUAGCCGGCCUGAGAGGGUGACCGGCCACAUUGGGACUGAGAUACGGCCCAGACUCCUACGGGAGGCAGCAGUGGGGAAUCUUGCACAAUGGGCGCAAGCCUGAUGCAGCAACGCCGCGUGCGGGAUGACGGCCUUAGGGUUGUAAACCGAUUUCAGCAGGGACGAAGCUUUUUGUGACGGUACCUGCAGAAGAAGCACCGGCUAACUACGUG